UUUCUGAUCGUUUACUUCCAUCCAUUGAGUGACACGUACAUCCUUAUUUUUCUCUACCUUCCACUGUUAAUUUUGUUUCCUUUUUUUUCGGAGGGUGGGGUGACCGGUUACCGGCUGAGCGUUCAUUUCCUUCAUAUCCACGUGAAUAGGUGACUUUCAGUUUGCCUCCCACAAUCAGCGGUCAAAGCGGUACGGCCCCACCACCGAACGAUCCAGCAGCUCCAGGAUUUGCUCUACCAAACAAACACAGGAACUGCCCAUAUCCCCACCCCCGGUGGAGAGCAUCUUCCUCUCCCUGCCUGGCCGGCCGACGAGGCAGAGGCGGCCAUCAUGCCACCACUCUCCCCUGGCAAGCAGCCAUCAGGCGCCCUCCUCCCCUUCUGAGGCGUUGCGCUUGCGCCUUUCUCUCCAUCCCGAUUCGGCGCCCUCCUCUCCCUCCCGAGCAGCACGCAGGGCCAUGGGGGAGCCGAUGGGAGGAGUUCGGUGCCCCUUCUCCUUCCCAAGGUGAUUAUUUGUGCGGAGGAUAUGAGCGCCCUCCUCUCCCUCCUGAUGCAACAUGGUCGUCGGAGGAUACGACGCAGCCGAUGCUCCCUUCCGGUUGCAUCUACGGACAGGUGCAUCGCCGGUCACGUCGGGAACCUGUAUCUCUCUCUGCAGGACGCUGUGACGUCUAGGGCAUUUUGCAUCUGCACAAGAUGGCAUUGCUACAAAAUAUGUAGAUGGAUAAGAUGUGCAGUGACUUGCCAAUUUGCAAUUUAAUCUACUGGUUAGAUCUUUCUUCAAUUGACACUACACAACUAUCAGGUUUUCAGAUGUAUAUAUCCAGAGGGCUUGAUACAUCAGAUGACAUUGGUGGUGAGAGAGAUUGGCUUCAUUUUUGUUGUAAUUGUUAGAUUUGGGGAUUUUUAUUGGUAUUGCAAAUUUUAUAUGGUUUCCCAAGGUGUCUUAUAGUAAAUGAUUGGGAGCAUGAUCAUAUAUGUUGUUCGGAGGCCUACACUAUAGUUCGGAUUAAAAGUGAGACUAUCUUGGUUGGUCCAUAGACAGCCAAGCAAAGGGUGCAUGAUUAUAAUUAUUACCUGGUGAGUUGGGUUCCUCUUUUAUUCUCAACAAGCUUGCAGCAACAUAAUGCCCAUACUUCUAAAUAUCAAUUGGUGGACUGUAUGUGGCGAGGAUUUAUUCCUUGGCAUAUUAACAUGCUUUUUUCUUUUGGUGGUAUCCUAUUUUCUCCCCUUUAAUUACAAUAUAUUAUAUUUGAUCUGUCCAACAUGAGACAAUUAGAAGUAUUAGUGUACAAUGCCUCUUAUGACUUUCUUUUCCUCGACUACCUUCAUGGCUGCAAUUUUCAAAUUGUUCAAUAUUCAACUAUUAUCACUGUGUUGCUCAAGCAGCGGUUUUACAGGAUAUGUGAAACUAUUACAAUUUGACCGAGAGACUAAACUACACUGUUACAAUUUGACCGAGAGAUGAAAGAGUUCAAACCUUAUAAACUAUUUGCCUUCAAAUAAACGAUUUUGUUAUUAUGCUAAGAUUGUGCGGAGCAUACAUAUAUUCAAGAUGAUGAAUUACAGUUUAGUAAUUUUCUCUUGCUUUUCCUGAUACUGUGUAUCAGACAUUAAUCGAAAAUCUAAAUUAUGAUUCUCCUGAUUAUGGUAUGUCUUACAUGCAGAGAGAAAGGGUGGAACAUGGCGAUUAAUCUUUCCCAUGUUUGGUCUUGUGUUCGCUUAUCCAAUUUGUCUGCUAUGCCAGGUUUGUAACUGGGCCGACACUUAGAGUGAUUCAUACCACCCUUCCUCAUAGGAAUAUGUCAAGUUCUGGAGUUCCAUGGGAGUCCAGCUUGAAAUCAUUCGCCGAAGAUAAGCUCAGUGAUACUCAAAAGAGCACUGAAGAAUUUCGAAUUAAGUAAUUGUGCAUGUGAACUUAAUAGGAUAGAAGGAAAUGAUUCGUUUUGAAGGGCAGGGUACUAUGCUCACCACUCACCAUAUAGUGCCAAGUGCCAACCUUCCGAUAUCUGAUACUGAAGUGCAAAUACUGCCGAUCAUCCUUGCUGAGCUCUCCUGCAAUUUCUUUUGUUUGCACAUUGCCUUCCAUCGCUUCAUUUUUCUGAGUAUAAUGUCUAUUGAGACUAUGUACCUGCAAUGCAUACCUGUUGAUUAAUAUGGUCUUUUGCUGUUCUGCUUUCUAGGAUCAGUUCUCAGAAUCAGCUCUAUACGCAAGACAAUGAAGCUUCUACCUAUUCUACUACUACACGCAGCUGCUAUAUGUUAAGUUUCUCGAGCCGGUAAAUUUGAAAUGCCUGGUUCUAGAGUGCCCAUUUAAUGGGCACACGUGUUAGCGAGUGGGUUCUGGAAGCCAGGGGACCAAAAUUGGCGAACCCGUGUGCAUACCAAUAACUGUUUUGCAUGCACCAGCCACCAAGUGGCCUUUCACGUUGCAGCGCCGUUAGUAUACAGUUGGGAUAUGCUAUGCAACGACUAUCAACAAGUGCCAAGGUCAGACACUUCAGAAGGUCGGGGUCAGACACUUCAGAAGGUUGGGGUCAGACACUUUAGAAGGUCAGACACUUCAGAAGGUUGGGGUCAGACACUUCAGAAGGUCGGGGUCAGACACUUUAGAAGGUCAGACACUGCAGAAGGUCGGGGUCAGACACUUCAGAAGGUCGGGGUCAGACACUUUAGAAGGCCAGAACUGCAGAAGGUCGGGGUCAGACACUUUAGAAUGUCAGACACUUCAGAAGGUCGGGGUCAGACACUUCAGAAGGUCGGGGUCAGACACUUUAGAAGGUCAGACACUUCAGAAGGUCGAGGUUUAUGUUGCGCUCUCAAGGGUAAUAUCAAGGGAAAGGGCUUGUGCUAGCGCUUGAUGAAUCUGGCAAGGCAACUAACAAACAUAGUGUACCGGGAGGUCCUUGGCUAUCUAUAAGUGUUCCUUCCUACAUGCUAUAUAAUUUGUUUGCAUAUACCUAAUUUAUUUUCCAUAGUUUUGCGUGAUCGAUAUUCUUGCUCAUUGUGUCUUCUUCCCAGCUACUUCUUGGCAGGAUUACUGAAUCUUCUGUUCCUUUUGGUGUUGUGGUAUGUGGUAUGGGUUUAGAGUGGACAACCAUCGAUUUUUUGCAGCUGCCGCAACUCUCUCAUCGUUGAUAGAUCAUGUGUCAGGUUAUCUCUGUUCUCUUCCGUAUUGUUGUACUCCCUUUCGAUAUACAUGGUGAUUUCUCAGUUUUCUUUAUUUGUCUAUUUAUGUUACAGUCUAAGGGUUCAACUCUCUCUGCAUGGUACUAAUUGCAGGUUCAGCAGGUAUAACCGUGUUUAGUGUAAAGACACUGAAGCUAAUGGAGGUGAUUUCUGACUUUACAUGUACAACACCCUCAAAUCCCCGCCAUGUACUCGCUUAAUCUGCAUAACAAGGGCGUAUGGCUAGAGCUCAGUUUUGUUAUCAAUUGCCUUUACCCACUAUUUACUCUAUGGUAUAUGUUAGUGCGUGUCUGACAUAAACAGAUGCACAAGACACUGAAGCUUUUGUGCUCCCUUUUCUUAUGCUGGCAUCCGAUUCAAUGGAGAACUGAACUAAAGUGUAUUGUGUUUUUAUUAUCUCUUUCUGACAACAAUCUACGUUGUGAGCAAUUCAUACUCUUUGUUCUUUCAUUUAAGCCUUUUUCUCAUAAAGAUUUCCUUUCAGGCGCACGCAGCUGCUGUAACAAAUAAAAUUGCCCCUAUUGAGCCAGUAAUGAGAAAAGUGACAUACCGAUUAUUGAUGCCUUAACCCAUAUAGUUGCUCAAGCUCACUGCCAGUCGCAUGCGUUCCCCCACUCCUCCCUCCUCGCCGCGCGCUCCCGUGGGAAAUACGGCGCCCCUGCUGUCCUGGCCAGCUCCAUCCGUCGUCGUCCAAGGAGCACGCCAGCUCCGUCCUCGCCACCACCAGCACGGAGCAGUCGUACGGGUCACAGACCCGACGCCAACCGGAGGAGGUCUCCGGCCCAUCCGCGCGGCCUCCGUGCCUUGGCCGCCGCCACCACGGACGCGCCAGGAAGCCUCCACACUGCCACCGAAGCCGCCAUGCCCCACGCUAGCACGGAGCCCAAGUGGGCCAUCUCGACCCGCGCUGAGACCUACAUGCGAGGUGGAAGGGGGGCUCGCCGACGCAAGCGGCCGGCCUUUGGCGUCCCAUCACACGAAGCUUCCUCCACUCCACCGUCGGACCCAACGAUGCAAGCUGUCCGUGCUCACA